GACGAACGCUGGCGGCGUGCUUAACACAUGCAAGUCGAGCGGUAAGGCCCUUUCGGGGGUACGACGAGCGGCGAACGGGUGAGCAACACGUGGGUGACCUGCCUUUAGCUCUGGGAUAAGCCUGGGAAACCGGGUCUAAUACCGGAUAUGACUCCGCGGCGCAUGUUGUGGGGUGGAAAGCCUUGUGCGGCUGGAGAUGGGCCCGCGGCCUAUCAGCUUGUUGGUGGGGUGAUGGCCUACCAAGGCGACGACGGGUAGCCGGCCUGAGAGGGCGACCGGCCACACUGGGACGUGAGACACGGCCCAGACUCCUACGGGAGGCAGCAGUGGGGAAUCUUGCGCAAUGGGCGAAAGCCUGACGCAGCGACGCCGCGUGAGGGAUGACGGCCUGGUU
rnacentral:rRNA from 1 species